rnacentral:lncRNA from 1 species
UACUUCUUUUCUUUUUUUUUUUUUUUUUUUUUUCUGAGACGGAGUCCCACUCUGUCACCAAGGCAAGUGCAGUGACACGAUCUCGGCUCACUGAAACCUCAGCCUCCCAGGUUCAAGCAAUUCAUGUUCCUCAGCCUCACGAGUAGCUGAAAUUACAGGCACAUGCCACCAUGCCUGGCUAAUUUUAUUUUAGUAGAAAGAGGGUUUUGCUAUGUUGGCCAGGCUGGUCUCGAUCUACUGACCUCAAGUGAUCCACCCACCUUGGCCUCCCAGAGUGUUGGGAUUACAGGCAUGAGCCACUGCACCCAGCCAAUAACACUCUCAAAAUUUUAAUUAUGAAGAAAAUAAAAAUAGAUCCAAGAGAAAUAUAUCAAGAGUAACACACAAAAUCUUUCCAGGAAAAAUAAUAUCUUUUCUUACAAAAAAUCCUACUGAAGAACAAAUUAUCCAUAAUUUUGUAUGUAUUACCUAAUAUUUGAGGCAAUUGAGCAGCAGCCUUCAAAAAGGAACCACCCCAGUUUCUGAGAUCAUGAGUUGUGCCCCAUCAACAGAACUUCUAUUGUGGGCAUAACGGAAUAAGAAGAGAGAAGCACAGUGAUCAGAUGAAGGGCUAUAGAAUUAAAAAGUGAUCAAAAUACCUGCUGCAUUUGCUAUUGCUUAAGCACUUUAAUUAUAUAUCUAUUAUGAAAAAUUGCAUUGAUUUACAUAUUAAUAUUCUACAUUUCAGCAUGUGCCCUUUAUAGUCACAUAAAACAGAAUACACUCUGUCGCACACAUUUAACCUACCUGACUCAGCCAUUAAACUAAAAUUUGAGAGUGGGAGAAAAAAGAAACAGAAUGAAUACAGUGCUCCCAUUGUUCUAUUCAAUGCCUUGGAUUUUAAAUCCUUAACUGUCACUCAACUGAACUCUAUUUUUGUCAGUUUGCCUAUCAGUCAUGAUGGGGAGUUUAACCUAGGGUGAGCAAUCAGUUUGUCUCCAAACCAUUUUUUAAAAUGGUCUCAUGUUCCUGGGUUAGGGACCUAUGUGCAAAUUUUUUACAUCAGUCUGUAAUUUCACUUUAAUCUCCAUG